AGGCAGCAUCUAUUGAGAGAGGAAAAUUUCUGCAGUAUUUUGCCUUUUAUUACUCAGCCCUGUCUCUUGCUGUGACCUCAAAUCCUGAAGGCACUUUUGAGUGUUCUUUGUGCAGGAACCUCCUAAACAGAAUGGAGAA